rnacentral:rRNA from 1 species
AUUGAACGCUGGCGGCAUGCCUUACACAUGCAAGUCGAACGGCAGCACGGGAGCUUGCUCCUGGUGGCGAGUGGCGAACGGGUGAGUAAUACAUCGGAACGUACCCUGAAGUGGGGAGUAACGUAGCGAAAGUUAACGCUAAUACCGCAUAUUCUGUGAGCAGGGAAGGCAGGGGAGUCGCAAGACCUUGCGCUCUGGGAGCGGCCGAUGUCGGAUUAGCUAGUUGGUGGGGUAAAGGCCUACCAAGGCGACGAUCCGUAGCGGGUCUGAGAGGAUGAUCCGCCACACUGGGACUGAGACACGGCUCAGACUCCUACGGGAGGCAGCAGUGGGGGAAUUUUGGACAAUGGGCGAAAGCCUGAUCCAGCCAUGCCGCGUGAGUGAAGAAGGCC